CAGUUCUUUACUGUUUUUAAACACUGAUGUGUCCGUAGAUGGCGCUAUAGUGAAUCUCACAUGUGUAAGGCAAGAGCAUAUGUCUAUGGGCAAGAUGGACCCCACGCUGUUGUACCGUGAAAACUAGAAGGAACAGUCAUUUUAGCGACUUGGUUCUCUCGUCAACUCUUGUUCAGUGUGUAAGUUGAACAGUUUUGUUCCCGGAGGAGGAUGACUGUGU